rnacentral:rRNA from 1 species
UGAGGAAUCUUCCACAAUGGACGAAAGUCUGAUGGAGCAACGCCGCGUGCAGGACGAAGGCCUUCGGGUCGUAAACUGCUUUUGUUAGCGAAGAAUAUGACGGUAACUAACGAAUAAGGGUCGGCUAACUACGU